GGGGACAUAGCUCAGUUGGGAGAGCGCCUGCCUUGCAAGCAGGAGGUCGUGAGUUCGAUUCUCAUUGUUUCCACCA
rnacentral:tRNA from 1 species